rnacentral:rRNA from 1 species
CUACGGGGGGCUCCAGUGGGGAAUAUUGGACAAUGGGGGAAACCCUGAUCCAGCAAUGCCGCGUGUGUGAAGAAGGCCUGCGGGUUGUAAAGCACUUUCGGUUGGGAGGACUGCUUCUAGCACUAAUAUUGUUGGAAGUUGACGUUACCUUCAGAAGAAGCACCGGCUAACUCCGUGCCAGCAGCCGCGGUAAUACGGAGGGAGCAAGCGUUAAUCGGAAUUACUGGGCGUAAAGCGCGCGUAGGCGGCUAGAUCAGUCGGGUGUGAAAGCCCCGGGCUUAACCUGGGAACUGCAUCCGAUACUGUCUAGCUUGAGUACAGGAGAGGAGAGUGGAAUUCCACAUGUAGCAGCGAAAUGCGUAGAUAUGUGGAGGAACACCAAUGGCGAAGGCAGCUCUCUGGCCUGAUACUGACGCUGAGGUGCGAAAGCGUGGGGAGCGAACAGGAUUAGAUACCCCCGUAGUC